rnacentral:lncRNA from 10 species
AAGGCACUAAAUCAUUUGACAUACAGUAGUCACGGAUAUUAAAUUUCCUCUCUUGAACAGAUAGAACCUCUCAAAUGCACUACGUGGAUUAUUCAUCUUCAAAGAUAUAAGAAUACAAUAAAAUAGCACAAAAACUCAGUUGCAUCUCAGAAACCACUUCAUGAGGUUAUAAUGCCUUAAAGUAAUCAGAAGCAUCGAUUUUUAUUCCAUAGACCUGCCAAAGAGCUAGUUAGUGGGAAUUUGGGAAUAGGUAGAGCUUGAGUAUCCCUUAUCUGAAAUGCUUGGAACCAGAAGUAUUAAAAGAUUUAGGAAAUUUUUUUUUUUAAUAUUUGCAUUAUGCUUAACGGCUGAGCAUGCCUAAUAGGAAAUGUUCCAAUGAGCAUUUCCUUUCAAUACCAUGUAAGUGCUCAAAAAGUUUCAGAUUUUGGAGCAUUUCAAAUUUUUGGAUUAGGGGCACUCAACCUGUAGUAAAAUGUAAAAUGGCUCUUAUUCAGCAUAAAUAGAGGCAUGCCCCCAUCAGGGGUCAUUUCAGAGUUCAUCAAGAUUCUGAGAUAAAAAAGCAUGGUACAGUGAAAACAACAAAAUUGACUUUCCUGUUUCAGAAGCCAAAAGUCAGACGGUUUGUAUCUAAUUGAAUAAAAGAAACUUGAAGUACGUAAGUUAAAACUUGAGGUGUAUCCCAAACCAUGGGAGCGUUGAAGAAGCUUUUGAGAUCUGGGUGCCAUGUUUGGAACACACUGAUGUGACAGGUUGCCUGGACCACAAACCCUGGCUAGGAAAUGGGCAAGAGCAAGACCCAGGCAUCGGGGGAGAGCCAGGUGCCAUGGUGCUGAGGCUCUAAGCAAGGGAACGCAACGUCAUCCUAAGGAACGGGUCCUGUAUGUAAGGCUCAGGGGCCAGUGCACACCUGAAUUGACACCGCACAGGAUUCAGGUCUGCCUUUAAGAACAUAGGAAUCCCCAGGCCUUAUUAUUUUUAAUAGUUUGGCCCACA